UACACAGGUCCCAAGCGUUGUUCGGAUUCACUGGGCGUAAAGGGUGCGUAGGCGGUCAUUUAAGUCUGACGUGAAAUCUCCGGGCCUAACCCGGAAACUGCGUUGGAAACUAUCUGACUAGAGGAAUGGAGGGGAGACUGGAAUACUUGGUGUAGCAGUGAAAUGCGUAGAUAUCAAGUGGAACACCAGUGGCGAAGGCGAGUCUCUGGACAUUUCCUGACGCUGAGGCACGAAAGCCAGGGGAGCAAACGGG
rnacentral:rRNA from 1 species